rnacentral:rRNA from 1 species
AUACGGAGGGUGCAAGCGGUACUCGGAAUCACUGGGCGUAAAGCGCGCGCAGGCGGCUAUUUAAGUUGGAUGUGAAAGCCUACGGCUCAACCGUAGAACUGCAUCCAAAACUAUUUAGCUAGAGUGUGGGAGAGGAAGAUGGAAUUAGUUGUGUAGGGGUAAAAUCCGUAGAGAUAACUAGGAAUACCAAAAGCGAAGGCAAUCUUCUGGAACACUACUGACGCUGAGGCGCGAAAGCGUGGGGAGCAAACGGGAUUAGAAACCCUAGUAGUCC